CAACCCUCAAAGCCCUGGCUUUGGUGUUGGAGGAAUACCCUGUAAAAGGGGUACCCUCUGAAAUUUAGUGGCGGGCUCGCUAGAAUUUUGAGCGUAGUAAUAUUACCUCGUUUUUAAAGACUAGUGGGACUUCUUGCCGUAAAACCCCCCAACUUUCUGAA
rnacentral:misc_RNA from 1 species